UCUUCUUCUUCUCCGCCUCUCCCUCGUACUUCCUUUUUCUCUGCAACCAAGAUUCAUCAAGUUUCUUGGAAAAUUCAUCAAAUUUCUUCACAAAUUCCAUUAGAAAUUUCUUAUCAACAAACCCCAAAAGUUAGAAUCAAAAUCCAUAUUUCUCACAUAACCAAGUUCAGAAAAAACACACUAAUUAAAACAUUCAAAUCAGAAAAAUCAUACUUAGAGAUCGAAGAGGAAACCAAAGAUUUCCAUGGAUAACUAAAGAAUUGAUGUUUUCUCGUAGGAUAUACGGAAGAUGAUGAGGUGCUGGUUGUUUUUCUCUUGUUGUUGGAGCAGUCUCUGAGAAUGUACCAUUACCCAGUGGAAUGGUGCUAGCGAGAACAUGAAAUUAGGGUUUAGUUAUUUGUUCUAAAUGGGAAAACUGCUCGUAAAACUGGAGGGAAGGCACCAAGUAGCUACCAAGGCUACACGUAAGUCUGUACCAAUUACUGGUGGACUUAAAGAAGCCACACCGAUACCGUCCUGGAACUUUUUCUCUUCGGUUAAGUUCAUUCAUGCGAAGCGUAUGACAAUCAAGCCAAGGAUAUUCGGCUUUUUAAGAGAAUAAGGGGAGAAAGGGCUUUAAUCAAUCAGUACUGCUGAUGGUCUCUUGGUGUAUACAGGAAGACUUAUCUUAUGAUGGUGCUGCUGGGAUUUACAGUGGAUAUUUAUUGUGUUGGAAUUAUUGUUUACCAUGGUCUCUGCUUCGGAUUCUAUGACUCUAAAUCCAGUUUUUUGACUGGUGAUCUAGUGGAUACUUUCUUCCUUCUUCACACUGCUUGUGGCACAUCUAGAUGAAUGUACUUGAACAGAGGUCACGUUACCAAUAAGUAAUUCAUCGAAUUGAGCAAUACUUGCUCAGUUGCUCAAAUAUUGAUCCAACUAUCAAUAUUCAGUAAUUCGUCGAAUCGAGCAAUACUUGCUUAGUUGCUCAAAUUUACAAUAUUUGCUUAGACGAGCAAUAUCAACAUAAGAACUGUACGUAUGAUUCAAUCCAUGAAUCACUGAGCAUCACUCAUGCUCAAUUCAAUGAAACUUAGACCCACUGUCUAAUCAAUUCAAAGACUGACUAAUCAAAUAUGUCUAAUCAAUUCAAAGACUGACUAAUCAAAUACACGUCUGCUUUGCAGACUCCACGUUCGUGAGACAUCAAUCACGUCACAUGGGGAUAUCAAUUGUGAAAACUACUACCACACCCAUUUCCCAAUUUUUUUACACUAAGAACCCACGUUCAUAAAAGUUCAGGCGCGCAUCCAUUUUCUGGGUUAAAAUUUUCGUCACAUCCAUAAUUUCCUAAAUUAUUUUUCUUCUUCUCAACUGUGAAUUGAUUCUCUGAAUCUAAAGUGAUGUUUUAUCAAGGAGACCAGAGAAAAAAGAGAAACUUUUACAAAAACCUCCGGAGAAGAUUGAUUUUCGAUCUUCUCUCACACCAAAGAUAUACAAAGAUCCCGAUUUCCGCCACCACCACAGCAACAUCACCAUGGUUCCCGUUCACGGCAGCACUAAAAGGAAGAAAAAUAAUGAUUGGAGACGGAAUUAAAGACCAAAUAGAAAUGGUUAGCUAACGCAAUUGCAGGUCUUCAAAGAAUGGCUUUUACAUGAUUCGAUCUGAAUCAUCCGUUUUGUUGAUUUUAUAAGUGAAGAAAGGUGCUGGUGGAAGAAAAGGAAAUGGUGGUCCAAAGAAGAAAUCAGUAACAAGAUCUGUUAGAGCUGGUUUACAAUUUCCGGUAGGUAGAAUUGGUAGGUACUUGAAGAAAUGACGUUAUGCUCAACGUAUUGGCAGUGGUGCUCAUGUUUAUCUCGCUGCUGUUCUUGAAUACCUUGCUGCUGAGGUCAAUUUCUUCCUUAACUUUUCAAUUAGGGAAUCUUAAAAUUUUCAUAAUUCUUGUCAAUUUAGUCUCAAUUCAAAGUGGCUUUUGCUUAAUUUUGUUUGUGCAUGUAAAAAAAUUUGUUAAAAGACAUAAAUUUGUUUUUGGUUUGAGCUUCAUUUUGCUCAAAA